AACAAGGCGUACCUGCGGACCUGCGGAGGGAUCAUUACAAGUGACCCCGGUUUACCACCGGGAUGUUCAUAACCCUUUGUUGUCCGACUCUGUUGCCUCCGGGGCGACCCUGCCUUCGGGCGGGGGCUCCGGGUGGACACUUCAAACUCUUGCGUAACUUUGCAGUCUGAGUAAACUUAAUUAAUAAAUUAAAACUUUUAGCAACGGAUCU
rnacentral:misc_RNA from 1 species